GGUUUUUCAGAGAGCACAUGCUGUGAAUUUGGGAGUACAGAAGAUGCCCAGUUCGCAUGUACUAAGCAUAAAGUGAUUCCCAAAUUUACUCUUUUUGUUGGCAUAUUCCUGGACCUGGGAUCUUGUUGCAUCCCUUUUGCCAUCCGAUCGUUUCAUCACAUCAUUCAAAAGGAGGAUAUGGGGGGCGUCAAAACGGAAGCAUCGGAUCCGCUGAUUGUAUUGUAUAUAUAUAUCAGCAAGCUCAUCAAUCAAGAAGGAGAGUUCUGAGUGAGCAAGAAACUAAAGGGUAGCGAAACGACAGCAGUUUUGACAGCACCACCCGAUUUGCCAAGAAACGUAAGCAAAGACAAGAAAGCUUUCAAAAUUGAGAAGUGUAAAUACAGGCAAGAGGAUAGGGAGCUGACCUUGAGAAACGCUGAGGGAGGAAGAAGUUGAGCUUCUGCUCUUGCUCUUGCUCUUGGUGGUUUCUCCCCGAUGAUGGUUUCCUCAAGGGGUGAGGAGGCCGAAGACGAAGAUGAGGACUAUCUAUCUGGCUUUGGCUGUGGUUCUGCUGAUAGGACAAGUGGCCACCUAACAGCUGAUGAGAGGUCCGAUCGAUCCAAUCCAAGGAAACUGAUGCAGAGCAAAACCAGGGAGGGGGUGCUGCAAAACGCGCAAUAACCUAUAUCGCCCCAGAAGGAAGAGGGAGGGCGAGCACAUGGAUAUCUGGUGUGGUGGUGGUUCUUGUUGGGUGCGGUCGCUGCUCGGUGGUGCCGUGUUGGACGUUUAUAAUUAGCCAGAAAGAGAGGAGAAUGAGCGGCAGCGCAGCGCCGCAGCCGGCUUUGAAGUGAAUAAUAAAUAGUGU
rnacentral:lncRNA from 1 species